rnacentral:rRNA from 1 species
CCUACGGGCGGCAGCAGUAGGGAAUCUUUCACAAUGGGCGAAAGCCUGAUGGAGCAACGCCGCGUGCAGGAUGAAGGCCUUCGGGUUGUAAACUGCUUUUAUAAGCGAGAAAUAUGAUGGUAACUUAUGAAUAAGGAUCGGCUAACUACGUGCCAGCAGCCGCGGUCAUACGUAGGAUCCGAGCAUUAUCCGGAGUGACUGGGUGUAAAGAGUUGCGUAGGUGGCAUAAUAAGUAGCUAGUGAAAUCGGGUGGCUCAACCAUUCAGACUAUUAGCUAAACUGUUAAGCUCGAGACCGUUAGGGGUAACUGGAAUUUCUAGUGUAGGAGUGAAAUCCGUAGAUAUUAGAAGGAACACCAAUAGCGUAGGCAGGUUACUGGGACGGUUCUGACACUAAGGCACGAAAGCGUAGGGAGCAAACGGGAUUAGAUACCCGAGUAGUC